rnacentral:rRNA from 1 species
CAGGGCAUCCAUGUCUUGUACUUGGGCUGAGUAGAAUGUAAACGACUCUAUGAGUAUCAAUUGGAGGGCAAGUCUGGUGCCAGCAGCCGCGGUAACUCCAGCUCCAAUAGCGUGUAUUGAAGUUGUUGCGGUUAAAAAGCUCGUCGUUGGAUUUCUGUUGAGGUCGAACAGUCCGCCCUAUGGGUGCGCAACUGGCUCGGCUUCGGCAUCUUCUUGGAGAGCGCAUCUGCACUUAACUGUGUGGAUCGUACUUCAAGUCAGUUACUUUGAGGAAUUGUGAGUGUUUCAAGCAGGCUUACGCCUUGAAUCCGUUAGCAUGGAAUAAUAGAAUAGGGCCUCGGUUCUAUUUUGUUGGUUUUGAGAGCUGGGGCAGCGAUUGAUAGGGACGGAUGGGGGCGUCCGAACUUUACUGUCAGAGGUGAAAUUCUUAGAUCGGUCAAAGGCGAACUACUGCGAACGCAUUCGCCAAGAAUGUUUUCUUUAAUCAAGAACGAAAGUUAGGGGAUCGAAGACGAUCAGAUACCGUCCUAGUCUUAACCAUAAACGUUACUGACUAGAGAUUGGAGGUUGUGAUUCACAAGACUCCAUCAGCACCUUAUGUGUAAACAAAGUCUUUGAGUUCUGGGGGGAGUAUGGUCGCAAGACUGAAACUUAAAGGAAUUGACGGAAGGGCACCACCAGGAGUGGAACCUGCGGCUUAAUUUGACUCGACACGGGGAAACUUACCAGAUCAAGACAUAGUAAGGAUUGACAGAUUGAGAGUUUUCUCUCGAUUCUAUGGGUGGUGGUGCAUGGCCGUUCUUAGUUGGUGGAGUGAUUUGU